CCUUGACCUUGACCUGGCGGGGGUACCUGCUGUGUCUGCGGGGGGCGGGGGGGUGUCCACCUGCUUCCUGUGGGGGAGGGGAAGGCACUGCCCAGGCCCCCGCCCCUCGGCUCCUCAGAGCCUGUCCGGAGGCCUGCAGAGGGCCUCACGCCCCCAAGAAAUGUAAAUUUACGCUUUUUAUUUACACACCACCUUCCUUAGCUCCAUCUUAUGCAGCAGCACCUUGAACUUGGGGUUUGUGUGGACUCGGAUUUUCCAGCUCUGCCAGUGGUCCUGUGUGCCACUUGGGCCACCUGCUUCGCUCACAGCUCUGGGGCAGCCCUUCAGUCUUUUCUGAAUGGAGCAGGCGGUUUGAACUCAGCCCUGUCUGCGACCCCUUCCAGCUCAUUCACUGUCCCAUUUCUGUACCACAUCCUCCUCUCAGGCCUAAGGGUGCCUGCGGGUGCCUCUCCCGACCGCAGGAUCAGCUUCUAGAGUUCUCUGGACUUGAAAAUACUUUCUCUAAGGGAGCAGGAGGGAGUUUUGUUGGGGGUCUUGGAGGCGUGAAGACCCUGCAGUGCGACGGCAGGCAAGUUUGUGCCACUCCUGAGCGCUGGGGCUUCCUGGGAAUGGGGGCCACGCCGCCGCCUCCUUGGCGCCCUGUUGGGAGCCCUGCGGCCUUUCCCGGCCACGAAGAGCUUGUCUUCAGAGUCCCGACGUCUUUCCUGCACGAGCGCGAGGCGUCUGUGCCGCUGCGGGGAGCCAGCGCUCCUCGGCUGCUGCAGCGUGCGUGUCUCUGGCAGCAGAUGCGCCUGGAGGCAACGCAGACGGUCCCGCGGGACCCUUGCGGAGGCGCGUCCAGUACAUCCCGUCCUGCAUUUUGUGGGACCAGAGAGGCCAUGGAAUGGCACACGGGGUGAAAACGUCCCAGCCCGUGUUGUCCCCAGGGAGAGGUCCGCGGAGCUUGCCCUGCGGUGGCCCUCAGCACGAGGCAGGCUUCUCGGACACAGCUCUUAAGGUGGAGACAAACAGAGUGAGGUGACUCGGAUGUGGCCUUCAUGGAGGAGCUUGGUGCUGAGGUUGAGUAAAGCCUCCCCAGCUUACAAGCUGUGUUGAGUUAUGAGAAGCAGCGUCUGAGAACUGAAGCUGGGGCACCCAAGGCAGAGCGGGCAGGGAGCCAGCCUCCCCCCAACCUCCCCCGACCCCCGGAGGGCGCUGGCAAGGCAGACUAGGCCAUUCGCUGUGUGGACUGCUCUCUGCACAGAGCAUGGUGCCAGGAGCACCCUGCCCCAGGCGGGAGGCUCGGAGCCGUGUCGAUGCCGCCGACUGCCCGUGCACGGCGCCCGGCGCCCAGCCCCCGGCCCCCGCUCCAGCUCCCGCAUGGAACAGCACCUUUUCCUGGUCUUCCUGUGGGAAACCUCCUCCCCCGUCUGGCCGCCCCGCACACGCGGAUCUGUGCUCCCCCAUCAGGCGCUCGCUGGUGGGCGCUAGUAGGACGCGAGGGUCUGUAGGUUGGGGAACAGAUGGUGCCCGCUAGAGCGGAGCGUACCCCGGCCAGGACUGCGCUGUGGCCAGCAGGGAGGGCGUAGAGGUCCGCUGCGCCAGGGAGCCCCGGCUUCGCCACCCGCCCGCUUCUGUAUCCCAUCUCCCGUGGGGGUGCGGGCCGCUCGGUCGCUGUCGAGGGCCAGCCAGCAGCUCGGGCUCCUCUCUUUCUGCCAAGUUCUGGGCUUACUUGCCGGUGGCAGAUGCCGAUUGUGGAAGAAAGCUCAAAGUCUGGUACCUCGCACUGUUUAGCUUGUGACACAGGGUCACCCGGGCCACCGCCCAGGUGAUGGUGGCAUUGUCAUGCCUGGUGCAAGAGAGAACUAUCCUUAGUCCCAGGGGAGGAGUUAGUGUCAAGUGUUGUGAAGGCGUCUUUCCACACAUAGGUGCAUUCGCUGCCACGAUAGUCCUGUGCGUAGGUGUUGUCAGUCUCCUGUCCUGAAGGGGGAAACUGAGGCAGUGGUGCCUGUAAAACUUCUCAAAGGACACAGAUCUAUACCUGCACGUUACAGCUCCCAGGUCACUGCCACACAGCAGUUGCGUGCUCCCAGUGGACGGGGCCUGAAUGCUCGGUUUGCCACCGUCUCCGAGGACCAGGAGCCCCUUACUCUCGCCACGUGUGCCUCUGACACCAUGGUGACAAGACGCGGAUGUUCACCCGUCCCACACCGUGUCUCCUCCACGCGGGCCCUUUGGCUUCAUGAAAAUGCAAGUGUGUGGGAGGGUGCGGGCUUCCUGUGCUGCCUGGCCAUCCCCGUGUCCUCAGCCAGCUCUGCCUCGGAGCCACGUGUGCUCUUGGCGUGUGCUCCCAGAGGAGCCUCUAGGGCACAGCUGCGUGUGGUGUGUGCCGGGCGGUGGGCAGGGGCUUGGCUUGUAGGGGGUGCGUGCCAGGGCGGUCGCCCAGGUUUGCCCCCUAUCCCCGCACAGAUCAGCCUGGCUGUGACUCCUCAGCAUGCCUGGGCUGUCCUGGCUAGCACAGAGGCCAAGGUGCGGAUUGAAAGCAUAAGGAUGGAAAAGGAAGAAAUGAAACUUACUAGAAUGUGAUCUAAUUUCCUAUCCAGGAAGCCCAGAAGUACAGCGGGGAGAGCUGGCUCAAGGAAAAGGGAAGGGAAGGGAAAAGGGUCAGUGCGUGUUCCACAGUGACAACGCAUGGGAAGGAAGUGCCAGCCCGCAAGGCGAAGCAUCCGACUACCACGCCAGGCAUGGGGCACUGAGGGCCGGGGGGCUCCGUCUCCGUGAUUCACAAUGAUGGGGAGGGAUCUGGGACAGGGCAGGAGCUCAGGCUCCGCCCCACCCCCCCACGUCAGUUCAGGACUUCAUGCAGCUUCAGUGCCCAGCAGUGACCAUGGAGUGCCAUUUGUGCGUUUCCUGUUAACCCUGUAGCCACGUGGACACACUGCCGCACAGCAGUUCCUGAGUGACAUGGGGAUGGCUCAACUUCCGUCCCUUGGUCUCCUGACCCCACUUUCUACGUGGAAGCCCCCCACCAGGGUUAGAGAGUCAGGUAGGCUUGCUCCAUCCAGAAUCAGCAGUGCACCUGGCGUGAGUCACAUCAAGGGAUGGUCUUGACUCAGGAGGUUGGGAACAAGGAAUGGAACUUUUCUAGCUUCUUAAGAGUUUUGCACACGUUAUUUAAGAGUUAUGGAGACACCCCACAAAGCAAAUGUAUGGGCAUGUGGUCUUUUCCUUGGGGAGUAGGGGGUAGAGGACGGAAUAGGGUAGGCUAGGGGUCAAGUACUGGUCCAGAAUAGAAAAUUAAAAUAGGGCAAGAGGAUCUGAAAGGAGGUCUCAGGACCCCUGCUUCAGGCCUGCCUUUCAGGUCCUUCACCUGGUAUGGAACGUUUUGUCAAAGAUGUUGUGGCUAGUUUUCUCUCAGUAGAAAGAGGAGUUGGUAAACAAACCCCAGAAAAACUUGGAGAAUAAAGAACACAUUAUAUUAUGUCAGUUGGGCCACCUAGUGGUCAGUCACCAAAUCAGCAACUCUCCAAGUCCUAAGGAACCCUGACAAACACAGCAGGUGGGGUAGAGGUGAAGGGGCCAGCAGUUGGGGCUCCACGCACCUGGGAUCAGACAGGUGAUGCACUGUGCUCCACUGCGUUUGUCCCAUCUCGACACGUGAGUCCCAGCAUGCAGACUGGCCCCUGCGCUCCAGCUGCACGGCACCACCCGUGUCUGCAGGGCACUGCGGAGCAGCCUCGCUGUGGUCCCUCUGGAGGAAUGAAUGCUGGGCGGGAAAGCCCAGCACUGUUCGUGCUUAAGGACUUUGCGCUUCAUACAGCCGCCCUGGCAGCUUGGGCUGGGCGCAGGAGUGUCCUCAAGGCCCAUGUUGACCAGCUCGCGGGGUUCACAAGCACUCCCGAACUUGUCGUGUUGGCUGACCUGGCCUGCGCCAGCAAAGGCUCUGGUGGAUGACGCUAGCUGGGUUGGAGGUCCGGAACAGCCCUGUGCCUCGGCCAGCCUCUCUUAAUCUUCCAUGGGAGAUCACACUGUGGGACCACCUUCUGAGAACCUCAGCUCCCAUGAUUUCUUGUCGGAGGGGCGUCGAGAGGAUCUGGUUCAUAAGCUGAAAGGCGGUUCA